UACGUAGGGGGCAAGCGUUAUCCGGAUUUACUGGGUGUAAAGGGAGCGUAGGCGGCUAUGCAAGUCAGGUGUGAAAACCCGGGGCUUAACUCCGGGACUGCACUUGAAACUGCGUAGCUCGAGUACGGGAGAGGCAGGCGGAAUUCCUGGUGUAGCGGUGAAAUGCGUAGAUAUCAGGAAGAACACCGGUGGCGAAGGCGGCCUGCUGGACCGAGACUGACGCUGAGGCUCGAAAGCGUGGGGAGCAAAC
rnacentral:rRNA from 1 species